rnacentral:rRNA from 1 species
ACUCCUGCGGGAGGCAGCAGUGGGGAAUAUUGGACAAUGGGCGCAAGCCUGAUCCAGCCAUGCCGCGUGAGUGAUGAAGGCCCUAGGGUUGUAAAGCUCUUUCACCGGUGAAGAUAAUGACGGUAACCGGGGAAGAAGCCCCGGCUAACUUCGUGCCAGCAGCCGCGGUAAUACGAAGGGGGCUAGCGUUGUUCGGAUUUACUGGGCGUAAAGCGCACGUAGGCGGACUAUUAAGUCAGGGGUGAAAUCCCGGGGCUCAACCCCGGAACUGCCUUUGAUACUGGUAGUCUUGAGUUCGAGAGAGGUGAGUGGAAUUCCGAGUGUAGAGGUGAAAUUCGUAGAUAUUCGGAGGAACACCAGUGGCGAAGGCGGCUCACUGGCUCGAUACUGACGCUGAGGUGCGAAAGCGUGGGGAGCAAACAGGAUUAGAUACCCCGGUAGUCCC